AGAGUUUGAUCAUGGCUCAGGACGAACGCUGGCGGCGUGCUUAACACAUGCAAGUCGAGCGGAAAGGCCCUUCGGGGUACUCGAGCGGCGAACGGGUGAGUAACACGUGAGCAACCUGCCCUUAGCUCUGGGAUAGCUCCGGGAAACCGGAAUUAAUACCAGAUACGAUCACGGCCGACAUCAGCUGUGAUGGAAAGGAU
rnacentral:rRNA from 1 species